rnacentral:tRNA from 1 species
GCCACCGUAGCAUAAUGGCGAUGCAGCACACUCGUAAUGUGCAGAUUGAGGGUUCAAUUCCCUCCGGUGGCU